GUGCCAGCACCCGCGGUAAUACGGAGGGUGCAAGCGUUAAUCGGAAUUACUGGGCGUAAAGCGCACGCAGGCGGUUUGUUAAGUCAGAUGUGAAAUCCCCGGGCUCAACCUGGGAACUGCAUUUGAAACUGGCAAGCUAGAGUCUCGUAGAGGGGGGUAGAAUUCCAGGUGUAGCGGUGAAAUGCGUAGAGAUCUGGAGGAAUACCGGUGGCGAAGGCGGCCCCCUGGCCGAAGACUGACGCUCAGGUGCGAAAGCGUGGGGAGCAAACAGGAUUAGAUACCCUGGUAGUCC
rnacentral:rRNA from 1 species